CUCCUGGAAAGGGUGGUAAUGCCGGAUGCUCCGACUCCUCGCAUGGGGUGUCGGGAAAGAUUUCAUCGGUAUGGGAUGGGGUCGCGUCCUAUCAGGUAGUCGGCGGGGUAACGGCCCACCGAGCCUACGACGGGUAGCCGGCCUGAGAGGGCGACCGGCCACAUUGGGACUGAGAUACGGCCCAGACUCCUACGGGAGGCAGCAGUGGGGAAUAUUGCACAAUGGGCGCAAGCCUGAUGCAGCGACGCCGCGUGCGGGAUGACGGCCUUCGGGUUGUAAACCGCUUUUGAUCGGGAGCAAGCCUUCGGGUGAGUGUACCUUUCGAAUAAGCACCGGCUAACUACGUGCCAGCAGCCGCGGUAAUACGUAGGGUGCAAGCGUUAUCCGGAAUUAUUGGGCGUAAAGGGCUCGUAGGCGGUUCGUCGCGUCCGGUGUGAAAGUCCAUCGCUUAACGGUGGAUCUGCGCCGGGUACGGGCGGGCUGGAGUGCGGUAGGGGAGACUGGAAUUCCCGGUGUAACGGUGGAAUGUGUAGAUAUCG
rnacentral:rRNA from 1 species